GCUGCUGUUUGUUUUCUAAAGCAUGUAUUUAAAGGACACACCGUGAUUACUAAUAAACUAAAUUAAAAGGGCAAAAGGUGGAGAGAGACAGUAGAGGGAAGUUCUUAACACCUGUCACCGUGUUCAUUACUCACAGCGUGUGUGUGUUUUCUCCGUGCCACAGAUCACUACGCAGACAUAAUUAUCUGGGCAGGAGGUGGGGUUUGCAUGCUACAGGAAAACACUGCAGUGGCUUGCUAAUUUGAUUUUAAUAUCUGUGCCAUGCUAUUGUUUGGCCUAGAAAUUAGAUUGCUUUUUACUAAUAUAAUUGGCUAAUUAAAACGUCUUCUGCAGGAGAUGGGGAAGAUACCCACAGUCCUUAUGUGACUUGGGACAUAAUAAAGUAAACAUGAGUCGGUUCCUCAUCCAACAAGAGCUCAUUUAGAGCACAAAGAAAGGAGUACCUACAUAGUAAUUUUCUUAAUAGGUUUCUGAGAUGAUUUAGGGUCCAGUCCUCUACCUUUGGAUUGGAGACAGAAACCCUGGAACACAGAAGACCCAGCCCUGCAAGACUACCUGUGGUGAUACUGACCUGAAGUCUCUCCUCAGUCCCCUGCAGAUACUUUGGGCUACAACAGUCCAGGGGAAUUACUUCAGCCUAACAUGAUCUUAGAACCAGAAUAAUAUUAGAUGAAGGAAUUUCCUCUGAAUUAGUAGUUUCUGCCUCUCUAAGUAUGCUGUAGAAAGACACAGGGUGCAGUAUUUUGAUCAGUUUGUUCUUUCUUCCACUGUCACACAUAAAGCAGACUUGAAGCAACAUCUCUCUCUGUUGGCAUUAAGGGAUUGCACGUGCUUUGUGGUGACUUCCUGACAAAAAAUGCAGAGUAAUUGCUGUGCUCCCAGCUCUUAAAUGUGUACAACACUUACCUCCAUUUCAGUCGUGUAUGAGCCGUGCCGCUGCCUUUUACACACGACCCAUUUACACAGGCUUAGCUUUAGUCCUGAUUUAGAUCCAGCUGCUCCAGCACAGAUUCAGUUACAGUUACAUUGCUGUGCUGUUGUGCUGCUCUUCUGUAAAGCUCAUGGAAAUGUGCACAGCCACCCCUGGCUGUUACUGCAGGAUACCCCAAACCUCCCCAUGCCUGGAGCUGCACACAGAACACCCUGUGGGUGCUCACAUCUUUUGCCAGUGUCACAAGAUGGAGUCAUGGACUGCCUGGACUGUCAGAGGAAGGAGCAUUUUCAGGGCUAAAGGGUUCAUGCUCAUGAAAGGAAUGAAUUUUCCCUUUUGUGCAGGAGGAUUCUGUACUUCACCUUUUUGCAGAGGCCAAAACUGACACCUGGAAAGAUAAAAGAUGUCAGCUCUCUGCUGGUGUUUCAUCCCAAGUGGAAAGACCUGUGCUGACUUCAGCUCCCAAAGAAUUUGUCCAUAUCUGUGUUCUUUCAGAGAUGAAAUGAAUUCCCUUUCUGUACUAAGAACAGGCUCCGAAGUUAAACCCAAGCUGGAUGUAGAUGCUGUGAGCCAGGCUCAGUAUCUGGGUGGAAACGCGCCCGUUGAACAGCUUUGUUCAAAAGGAAGCUCAGGAAGAUUGGACAAAGCAGUGGUAAGAAGUUAAAUC